ACGUGAGCAUGUAUGUCUUUGGCCUGCAGCAUUCUGUGAUUAAAAAAUGGCUGUUUUCUUUUAGCAGAAACAGAAGAUCCACAAAGAUUAACAAGGAUGUUUUCAAAUAUGCUGUUUUAAAGCAUUACGUAGCAUGGAAAAAGAAAUAACUGGAUUGUCAACAGAACAUCAAGUAAAAUACUUUAAACUUCAAGAACAGAUCACGAGUUGAUACUUCAUUACAUUACUUGUUACAAUUACAAACAGUCCUAUUUUAAAGAUUUUACAAUGUCAUUAAUGUCACAUAGUCCAGGAGAUUGGUCAUAUUGUGUACAGCUUUUUAGAAUUUUAUUAUGGUAUGCAGAUAAAUUUGGAUUUUGACUGAUUA